rnacentral:rRNA from 1 species
GACCAACCAAAACUCUUAUUGUAUACCCCCUCACGGGUUUUUUUAUAAUCUGAGCCUUCUCGGCGCCUCUCGUAGGCGUUUCGAAAAUGAAUCAAAACUUUCAACAACGGAUCUCUUGGUUCUGGAAUCGAUGAAGAACGCAGCGAAAUGCGAUAAGUAAUGUGAAUUGCAGAAUUCAGUGAAUCAUCGAAUCUUUGAACGCACAUUGCGCCCGCCAGUAUUCUGGCGGGCAUGCCUGUCCGAGCGUCAUUUCAACCCUCGAACCCCUCCGGGGGGUCGGCGUUGGGGAUCGGCCCUGCCUUGGCGGUGGCCGUCUCCGAAAUACAGUGGCGGUCUCGCCGCAGCCUCUCCUGCGCAGUAGUUUGCACACUCGCAUCGGGAGCGCGGCGCGUCCACAGCCGUUAAACACCCAACUUCUGAAAUGUUGACCUCGGAUCAAGUAGGAAUACCCGCUGAACUUAAGCAUAUC